rnacentral:tRNA from 1 species
UAUAGCUCAGUGGCAGAGCACUUCCUUGGUAAGGAAGAGGUCGGCGGUUCAAUCCCGCUUAUGGGCU